GACGAACCGAGCGAACGUUGUUCGGAAUCACUGGGCUUAAAGGGCGCGUAGGCGGGUUCUCAAGUCCGGGGUGAAAUCCCACAGCUCAACUGUGGAACUGCCUCGGAUACUGGGUGCCUCGAGGGUGGUAGGGGUAUGCGGAACUAUCGGUGGAGCGGUGAAAUGCGUUGAUAUCGAGAGGAACACCUGCGGCGAAGGCGGGUAGCUGGGCCGACACUGACGCUGAGGCGCGAAAGCCAGGGGAGCGAACGGG
rnacentral:rRNA from 1 species